rnacentral:lncRNA from 10 species
GAAGGAGUUCAUUCUUGCAUUGUCCAUCUGUCACUGAGUGACCUGGUCCUGCGAAGCCCGGCGUGACUGUGCCAACUUUCUCACUUCCUCCAUGGGGCCGGAGAAGAAAAAUGAUAUGAAUGUACAGUGCGCAAGAGGGGGGGCGGGAGGGCGGAGGACGCUGGAGGAGGGGCACGUGACGGUGUCAGCCAAUGGCUGAGCCUCCUGCAAAAGUUUGCCGGCUUCCGCAGUGAUGGAUCACCGUUUUAGUGGCAUUUAAAUCCCCGGCGCUCCGCCGUCUAGGUGACGCGCAGUCGCCCCCCCAGGCAGCCUAGGCGGCGGCAGCUGCUGCGGCGACUGCAAAGGCCGAUUUGGAGUGCUGGAGCGAAGAAGAGCAAAAGCUGCGUUCUGCGCGCGCCCGACUCCGCUGCCCGCCCCGCCAGGCCUCCGGGAGGUGGGGGCUGGGAGGCGUCCCCCGCUCCCGCCCCCUCCCCACCGUUCAAUGAAAGAUGAACUGGCGAGAGGUCUGUUUUGCCUGAACCCAUCAACAGCUGGGAGAUUAAUCAACCACACUGAAAAUGUGGAGGGAUUUAUGGGGGAGGGGGUUGAAAUGUGGGUGUUUGAAACAAAAGUGUAUAAACAAAUGAAUUGUUGAUAACUUAGUUAUUGACCUGGAGACUGGUAGCUUAUUAAAGAAACUCCGUGUUACUCAUUCCUGGAGUUGGGGGUUUCUGUAGGCACUUUAUUUCUCCACUUUCAAGAGCUUGGGCUUGGCCCAAAUCUUAGACUGUCCAAUUCUGCCUCUAUUACCAAUUUAAAUCUAUGGCUUGAACCUGUGCACUGAAAAUCAAAUCCUUUAAAAAGAAAGAGGAGAAGAAGAAGCAAAAAAGAAAGAAAAAACACUUAUUAGAAGCCCUAGUCAUUUUUUGGCUUUCUGUUUUG